GGGGAAUUUUGGACAAUGGGCGCAAGCCUGAUCCAGCAAUGCCGCGUGGGUGAAGAAGGCCUUCGGGUUGUAAAGCCAUUUUGUUGGGAAAGAAAAGCAGCCGGCCAAUACCCGGUUGUUCUGACGGUACCCAAAGAAUAAGCACCGGCUAACUACGUGCCAGCAGCCGCGGUAAUACGUAGGGUGCAAGCGUUAAUCGGAAUUACUGGGCGUAAAGCGUGCGCAGGCGGUUUUGUAAGACAGUGGUGAAAUCCCCGGGCUCAACCUGGGAACUGCCAUUGUGACUGCAAGGCUGGAGUGCGGCAGAGGGGGAUGGAAUUCCGCGUGUAGCAGUGAAAUGCGUAGAUAUGCGGAGGAACACCGAUGGCGAAGGCAAUCCCCUGGGCCUGCACUGACGCUCAUGCACGAAAGCGUGGGGAGCAAACA
rnacentral:rRNA from 1 species